CCUCCUUUCUAAGGAAACAAUUAUCAUCUUCAGUUUUGAGAGACUUAAGAAAGUUUUUCAUUGUAACUUGCUUGCAAAUUGUAUUUGCAACAUUUUAAUCUUUUUAAGAUUAA
rnacentral:rRNA from 1 species